rnacentral:rRNA from 1 species
CUUGCUGGGUGGAUUAGUGGCGAACGGGUGAGUAACACGUGAGUAACCUGCCCUUGACUCUGGGAUAAGCGUUGGAAACGACGUCUAAUACCGGAUACGAGCUUCCACCGCAUGGUGAGUUGCUGGAAAGAAUUUUGGUCAAGGAUGGACUCGCGGCCUAUCAGCUUGUUGGUGAGGUAACGGCUCACCAAGGCGACGACGGGUAGCCGGCCUGAGAGGGUGACCGGCCACACUGGGACUGAGACACGGCCCAGACUCCUACGGGAGGCAGCAGUGGGGAAUAUUGCACAAUGGGCGAAAGCCUGAUGCAGCAACGCCGCGUGAGGGACGACGGCCUUCGGGUUGUAAACCUCUUUUAGCAGGGAAGAAGCGAAAGUGACGGUACCUGCAGAAAAAGCACCGGCUAACUACGUGCCAGCAGCCGCGGUAAUACGUAGGGUGCAAGCGUUGUCCGGAAUUAUUGGGCGUAAAGAGCUCGUAGGCGGUUUGUCGCGUCUGCUGUGAAAUCCCGAGGCUCAACCUCGGGUCUGCAGUGGGUACGGGCAGACUAGAGUGCGGUAGGGGAGAUUGGAAUUCCUGGUGUAGCGGUGGAAUGCGCAGAUAUCAGGAGGAACACCGAUGGCGAAGGCAGAUCUCUGGGCCGCUACUGACGCUGAGGAGCGAAAGGGUGGGGAGCAAAC